rnacentral:rRNA from 1 species
AACGAACGCUGGCGGCAUGCCUAACACAUGCAAGUCGAACGAGACCUUCGGGUCUAGUGGCGCACGGGUGCGUAACGCGUGGGAACCUGCCCUUAGGUUCGGAAUAACUCCCCGAAAGGGGUGCUAAUACCGGAUAAUGUCUUCGGACCAAAGAUUUAUCGCCUUUGGAUGGGCCCGCGUUGGAUUGCUAGUUGGUAGGGUAAAAGCCUACCAAGGCGACGAUCCAUAGCUGGUCUGAGAGGAUGAUCAGCCACACUGGGACUGAGACACGGCCCAGACUCCUACGGGAGGCAGCAGUGGGGAAUAUUGGACGAUGGGCGAAAGCCUGAUCCAGCAAUGCCGCGUGAGUGAUGAAGGCCUUAGGGUUGUAAAGCUCUUUUACCCGGGAUGAUAAUGACAGUACCGGGAGAAUAAGCUCCGGCUAACUCCGUG